rnacentral:rRNA from 1 species
AACGAACGCUGGCGGCAUGCCUAACACAUGCAAGUCCAACGAGACCUUCGGGUCUAGUGGCGCACGGGUGCGUAACGCGUGGGAACCUGCCCUUAGGUUCGGAAUAACUCCCCGAAAGGGGUGCUAAUACCGGAUAAUGUCUUCGGACCAAAGAUUUAUCGCCUUUGGAUGGGCCCGCGUUGGAUUCGCUAGUUGGUAGGGUAAAAGCCUACCAAGGCGACGAUCCAUAGCUGGUCUGAGAGGAUGAUCAGCCACACUGGGACUGAGACACGGCCCAGACUCCUACGGGAGGCAGCAGUGGGGAAUAUUGGACACUGGGCGAAAGCCUGAUACAGCAAUGCCGCGUGAGUGAUGAAGGCCUUAGGGUUGUAAAGCUCUUUUACCCGGGAUGAUAAUGACAGUACCGGGAGAAUAAGCUCCGGCUAACUCCGUG